UCCGCUGUCGCCAUAGCAACAGAGCACAACAGAGCAUCACACGACGCCCCGUUCGUCUGCUCUGGGUUUUUUGCUCCCUCACCUCUGCGGUCGAAGUUUCAAAAGGAGAAACGCUGGAUUACUCAUUAGAAGUGUUGCCAGCCGCUCGCCGUUGGUCGCUCUCUUCUGGCCAAAGACUUAAAGCCUCAGAAAGUCCCAGCAGCAGCAUGACCUCAGUGUUCCACUGCACACGUGUCCUUCAGACGAACACAAGGCAUUCUUCAAUGACGUCUUCGCAGAAGAAAGUCUCUGCAGCUCGCCCUUUCCCGCCGCCACAGCCCGCCGGAGCUGCCAUCAGCCCCCCCCUGAGACAAAGAGCCUGUGGGUGGUGGCACUGUCUGCUGUGGAGGGCCUGCAGGGGGGCUUGGUUCCGGAGCUCCCCCCUCCUUCUGCAGCGACGCCGUCGUCAGACCGGGAUGGAUGGCGCUGGUGUGACCUCUCCGCAGAGGUCGAUCCGUUCCCACAAUCCUCGUGCCGCUCUCUGGUCCCGUCCAGCCAGAGCUUCGUCCAGCAGGAGGCAGAGCAGCGGGCCGAUCCUCUGA
rnacentral:lncRNA from 1 species